rnacentral:lncRNA from 1 species
CACGGAGGGUCGCCGGGAAGGCCUUGCAGAGGAGAGGAUCUGAUGCUCCGUGGAGGAGCAUAAGGGUCCUAAAACUCUCGACGUGAUCCCGCGGGUCCGCUGCCCCGUCAUAGGGCUCGAUCGCCGGCAUUUUGAACCCCGGCGGAUUUGGGGUCCGCAGGAUCCUCGAGGCAAGCGCCGGCUGGGAGGAGAUCUCCAAGUCGGCGAAGGGAUCUUUGGAGUGGCCCUUCAGGACCUGGAGUUGUCUGUGGAGAUCGUCCACCC